GAUGAACGCUGACAGAAUGCUUAACACAUGCAAGUCUUUGGCGAAGCUGUGCUUGCACAGCCUAGCCAAGGCGGACGGGUGAGUAACGCGUAAGGAACUUGCCCUGCAGUCAGGGAUAACAGACGGAAACGACUGAUAAGACCUGGUAAAGUCAGGCGGACUCAUGUCCAGCCUGAUGAAAAGAGAUGCUGCAGGAGAGCCUUGCGUCCUAUUAGCUUGUUGGUGGGGUAACGGCCCACCAAGGCGAUGAUAGGUAGCCGGCCUGAGAGGGUGGACGGCCACAAGGGGACUGAGAUACGGCCCUUACUCCUACGGGAGGCAGCAGUGGGGAAUAUUGGACAAUGGGGGCAACCCUGAUCCAGCAAUUCUGUGUGCACGAUGAAGGUUUUCGGAUUGUAAAGUGCUUUCAGCGGGGAAGAAAAAAAUGACGGUACCUGCAGAAGAAGCGACGGCUAAAUACGUG
rnacentral:rRNA from 1 species